ensembl:lncRNA
AUCUCACUUGUACAGAGUAGGAAACUACGGCUUAGCAAGAUUUUUGUUCAAGGUCAUUUGGCUAAUAAAUGACAGUGCUAGAACUUUAAAUACCACAACCACCUGGUAAAAAGUGCUGUGGGUGUUGGUCUGGAAUACACCCAGAUAACCAGCCUCCCUGACUCCAAGGCCUGGGUCGUUAACCUCUUCACCAUAUUCAGUAGCUGGGUAAGUGAAGGAGGAAGGGAGGAUAUUGCUGACAGAAUAAACUAUAUAUAGAAUAGAAGAAUGAGGACUUCAGGCGUGGUUGGAGCCUGACAUUUCUUUUUCCUGUGUGGAUAUCAUGGUAUUUGUGGACAGGGAUUUGGCUGAAAAGUUUAGUUGAGGUAACAAUAAGGAGUACCUUGCCUAACGUGGACUUCCAUCAACAGGCCUCUGGUUGUCAGACAGGGACAUCCAUACCAGUGAGGAUCAUCAAUAUGAAAGGCGUCAUCAGUCUUAACCAGUUGCUAUUACCCCUGUAUGCACACAAGUUGAACCUAAUGGCAUUAAAAGAAAAGUAGGAGACAUCCCAUCUACACAAUACAGCCCAAAUGAUCAGCUGCAUUCCUGCACAGCCAUCUCUUCAGUAUAUAUAAAUGAAGGAGAAGAGCAGUAUGAUUUUAUUACCAAAUUCACAAAAGGGACAAGCUGUGAAACGUCUAGAUUCCAGAGCAACAGACUGUGAUCCAUUCCCAGCAACCCCUCCCUACCGUCUGCCACAAGCUCCCAUAAAGCAGGAAUCAGAGCUAGACUGGCUCAGCUUAGGUAAGAAGUGAGGCUUCAUGUGAAAAAGACUACACCUACAAAACAAAUUCUCAAAUAUAUGAUACAUGCUAAGAUUUUGAACUUGACCCAGAAGUUUGUGGUAUACACACAAAUACAUAUACACAUGCACACGGUCAUAUACCUAUGCUUAAAAUUAUUUUUAGUGCUUUCCAAUUAAAAGCAUAAAUUACUCCAUAAAAAGCUUGCACAUUUUAAAGUAUAAUUUUAUAAAAAUAUAAAUAUAGAAAAGUAGAUGUAUCAUAAGUAUGUAGAUAAAUGAUUUUCCACAAAAUAUAAUGGAACAUUAUCAAUAUCCUGGAAAAGUGCCUUAUUCUCUCCUAGCCACUACAUUUUCCCUGUGGCUAACAACUAUUCUAACUGCUAACACCAUGAGUUAGGAUUGACUGUUUUUGAAAUUUAUAUAAGUAGAAGCAUAUGAUAUAUGCUGCAUUUUUGUUGCCUAACAUUUUGUGAAUUUUAUCCAUGACUUCUAUAUAGUAAUGGUUUACCUAUUUUCAUUACAUUGCAUUGAAUGAACAUACCCCAUAUUAACCUUUCUAUUAUUGAUGGCCACAUGGUUUGUUUCCACUGUUGACUAUUACAAAUAGUGUUACCUGUAUUUUAGUGAACAUAUUUUUGUUGGAUAUAUAUACAUCAAAGAAUAGAACUCCAGAGUCAUAGGCUCAGCUUUAUAAUAUAGUGCUUAAUACUUUAUCAAAUUGGUUGUAUGAAUUUACAUUUCUACCAACAGUAUCUGAGAGUACUAUUUACCUGGUGUCUUUACUGACACUUGUUUGUCAUUUAUUUUUGCCAUUCUGGUGUGCAUUUAGUAUUAAGCCAUUGAAUAUCUUAUCAUAUGCAUAUUGGCCAUUGAAAUAUCCUUUUCCUUUUCCCAUGAAUAGACUAUUCAACUUUUUGUCUAUUUUUAAAUUGGAUUUUUUUCUAUAGAAUAUAUUUUUAGAGUAAUUUUAGGUACACAACAGUCAAGUGGAAAGUAUGAAUAGUUCCCCUAUGCUUCGUCAUCUCACAUACGCACAGCCUCCCCGACCAUCAACAUCUUGCACCUGGCUGGUACAUUUGUUACAACUGAUAACCAACACUGACAUGUUAUUAUAAAAUAAAGUCCAAAGUUUACACCAGCGUUCACUCUUGAUUUACAUUCUAUGGGUUUUGACAAAUGUGUAGUGAUAUAUAUCCACUAUUAUGGUAUCAGAAUAGUUUCACUGCCCUAAAAAUCCCCUAUGCUAUACCUAUUCAUUCUUCCCUGCCCUCUAACCCUGGAAAUCAUUGAUCGUUUUACUGUCUCCAUAAUUUUGCCUUUUCCAGGAUAUCAUAUGGUUGGAAUCUUUUAUUUCAUUUUACUUAAUGGUAUUUAGCCUUUUCAGAUUGGCUUCUUUCACUUAGUAACAUGCAUUUAAGGUUGUUUCACAACUCUUUGUGGUUUGAUAGCUCAGAAUUUUUGAUGCUGGAUAAUAUUCUGUUGUAUGAAUGUGUCCCAGAUUAUUUAUCCAUUCACCCUCUAAAGUACAUCUUGUUUACUUCCAAGUUUUGGCAAUUACGAAUGAGGCUGCUAUAAAC